CCUGGCAUUUUUGAUUCCAUCCUUACUAAGAGUGUGUAUGUUUUCGAUAAGGGAGUGGAUUCUCCAGUGAGCUAUGAGCGUGUGUAUGCGUGGUUUUCAUUUGUGUUGAGAGUGAGGAUCUGUGAGGUGUUAAAUAUGGUGUCUCUGUGCGUGUGGCGUGAGAGUGAAUCCCAAAAACAAGAAAGAAUAAAGGAGAUAGAUGAUGGUCCAUGCAUUGCUACUCUCUUCCUUCAAAACAAAAAUGGAGCCCCCCUUGUUUAUGUGAAGAUGAUCAAGAAAAAAAGGAAUCCGAUGAGCUGUGUCAUCAUCCUCCCUUAGAUAUUGAUCUGUGUAUGUGAGUAUUAUUGGAGAUGAUUGAGAAUCUCUCCCCAAAUUCGUGCUCUUCGUUUUUGGAAAAAUUUCCAAGCCCUCUCAGU
rnacentral:lncRNA from 1 species